AAACAAUGUGUAAAUUCCGUGAAAUAAAUAGUGCGUCAAAUCAGUUUCCUUAUUGUAAAGACAAUUAUAAAUGAAAUAAUGUUUGUAUAUAAAACUCUAACAAUUGUUUUGUACGUGAUUAGUUGUGAGUUUUGUAUAGCCAAAAAGAGCGACGAUUUGGAAUUUUGGGAGCCAGAACCGAAAUAUGAUAAAAGAAGAGCAAUGCAAACAAAGACAUAUGUUGAAACGUUUAAACAGCAAUUUCUUUACAAUCGGGGUAAAACAAAACA